AGGCAAGCCAGUAAAGAACAUUCCUCCAUGGCCUCUGCAUCAGCUCCUGCUCCCUGACCUGCUUGAGUUCCAGUCCUGACUUCCUUUGGUGAUGAACAGCAGCAUGGAAGUGUAAGCCGAAUAAACCCUUUCCUCCCCAACUUGUUUCUUGGUCAUGAUGUUUGUGCAGGAAUAGAAACCCUGACUAAGACAAAUUGGUACCAGCAGAGUGGGGUAUUCCUGCGACAACCUGACCAUGUUUUGGGGAGGUCUGUGGAAGGACUUUGGAACUUUGGGCUUGAAGAUCCAUUCGUUGUUAAGAGCUCUGUCAGAUGUUUUGUAGGAGCUUGGAAGAUAAUGUUGAGAACAGUGCAGAAGAUGGAGGCCUGGCUUGUGAAAUUUCAGAGGGAAAAUUAAAGACUCUUUUCAGGGCCAUUGCUGUUUUGAUUGUGAAGAUUCUGUAGUUCUGGUUAGCUGGGGCUGAAGAAUCAGCUGUGAUUAACAAGAUACCAGAACUACUAAAGCAAAAACUUUGCAUUACUGGGACUAUUGAUGCUGGUUAGCUGGAGCUAAGAAAUUAGCGGUGAUUAAGAAGAGACCAGCAUCAUUGAGGUGACAUCUUCUGGGAAGUGUUUUCUGAGAGCACAGUGGCUGUGUUCCAGAUAUAGCCAAAGUUGUACCUUGUGCUGUGGCUGGACUUGGUAAUGUGUAAGGGUCACCCAGGUGGUACUGGUUUUGAAGGCAUGAAGGAGUUGAGCAGAGCAGCUGAGGCUUGGCACUGUGAGAGGCCAUGGAAGGCCAUUGGUGAAAGUGCAGCCUCAGUUGCAAUUGAUGGCCCAGGACUGAAGGGGUCAUGCAGUGCUUUGGAGAUGCCAGUACCAUGAGAUGACCACCAAGAGCAGCAGCAGCAGUGGAUUACAGGCAUCUGGAGCCUAGAGGAUGAUGCGUGUGCUACAAAGGGCAUGGCUGGAGAAGUGACCCAAGCCCUUGGAGGAGCCCAGAAGAUCGUAAGUUGGAUCCCAGACAUUGGACGGUUGGAGAUUGACUUUUGCUUUUGAUUGUGACUGUGCCCUGAUAUUUUCCCUCUUGAAGGAAGAAAC
rnacentral:lncRNA from 1 species